rnacentral:rRNA from 1 species
CGAAGCCUGACGGAGCAAUACCGCGUGAGGGAAGAAGGCUUUUGGGUUGUAAACCUCUUUUAUCAGGGAAGAAGAAUUGACGGUACCUGAAGAAAAAGCAUCGGCUAACUCCGUGCCAGCAGCCGCGGUAAUACGGAGGAUGCAAGCGUUAUCCGGAAUCAUUGGGCGUAAAGGGUCCGCAGGUGGCGAAUAAAGUCUGCUGUUAAAGACCGGGGCUUAACUCGGGAAAGGCAGUGGAAACUGAUUAGCUAGAGUACGGUAGGGGUAGAGGGAAUUCCCAGCGUAGCGGUGAAAUGCGUAGAUAUUGGGAAGAACACCGGUGGCGAAAGCGCUCUACUAGGCCGAAACUGACACUGAGGGACGAAAGCUAGGGUAGCGAAAGGGAUUAGAUACCCCUGUAGUCUUAGCGGUAAACGAUGGAUACUAGGUGUAGCUUGUAUCGACCCGAGCUGUGCCGAAGCUAACGCGAUAAGUAUCCCGCCUGGGGAGUACGCACGCAAGUGUGAAACUCAAAGGAAUUGACGGGGGCCCGCACAAGCGGUGGAGUAUGUGGUUUAAUUCGAUGCAACGCGAAGAACCUUACCAGGGCUUGACAUGUCGCGAAUCUAGCGGAAACGUUAGAGUGCCUUAGGGAAUGCGAACACAGGUGGUGCAUGGCUGUCGUCAGCUCGUGUUGUGAGAUGUUGGGUUAAGUCCCGCAACGAGCGCAACCCUCGUCCUUAGUUGCCAAUAUUAAGUUAGGCACUCUAGGGAGACUGCCGGGGACAACUCGGAGGAAGGUGGGGACGACGUCAAGUCAGCAUGCCCCUUACGUCCUGGGCGACACACGUACUACAAUGGUUGGGACAAAGGGCAGCAAGCUCGCGAGAGUAAGCGAAUCUCAUCAAACCCAGCCACAGUUCAGAUUGCAGGCUGCAACUCGCCUGCAUGAAGUAGGAAUCGCUAGUAAUCGCAGGUCAGCAUACUGCGGUGAAUUCGUUCCCGGGCCUUGUACACACCGCCCGUCACACCAUGGAAGCUGGCUACGCCCGAAGUCGUUACCCUAACCCGGUUUUGGGAGGGGGAUGCCGAAGGUAGAACUAGUGACUGGGGUGAAGUCGUAACAAGGUAGCCGUACCGGAAGGUGUGGCUGGACCACCUCCUUU